rnacentral:lncRNA from 1 species
CUGCAAGUACUCAUGUUCCGACUACAACUACGACUCCAAGUACUUCAACUCCUCAAAUUCCAACUCCAACUCCUCAAGGUUCGAGUACUCCAACUCCAACUCCAAAUCAAAUUACAACUCCAACUCCUCAAGGUACGAGUACUCCAACUACUCAAGUACCAUCAGCAAUGAGUCAAUCUAAUUCCGACUCCGACUCGGACCUCAGAGAUAAUGAUGGUAACUAACUAAUUGACUCAUUAUAUAAUUGAUUGAUUUAUGUGUAUUUAUUGACUCAUUAGUUUUUAUUUCAGAAUUGAGUCUACCAAACAGAAGAGGUAGAAACUUAGAUCAUCCGGAAGAUCACCCCAAACAAGGUGAAAGAUAUAAAGUAGAAUGGGAGCCAACACACAUGCAACCAACUGGACAGCUGCGUAAGAAAUUUAAUGCAAUGAUCAAUAGAGUCGCAAAAAUGCAUACGAUUUUUCCUUUGAAUGUGAACUGGCCGAAACAAACAUCUCAGAGCUUUCGACAAGCAUUCGAGUACAUUGAGGUAUGUUUUUUUUUAUUUUCUGAUUUAGAUUUUUUUUAGUCGAAUAAUUUUUCAAUUUUUAUUAUAUAGGUUGAUUUUGAUUUAGACGGUUACCCAAAUGCUCAUCAAUACAUCAAAUCCAAACUCAACAAUACUUGGAGGCGUUAUCGAAACUACAUAAAGGAAAAAUACUUUGACCCAUUUGCUGAUGAUGAAUCAACUGAAAGGAUGUAUGCUAGUCUUCCUCCAUACAUUGAUCGAUUCACUUUCGAAAAGUGUGUGGAAGAAUUAUGGACUACAGAAGAAUUUAAGGUAUUGUUUUACAUACAUCGAUACUUCAUUAAUUUACUAUUUUAUAUUGUAAGUUGUUUAACAUUAUAUAUGAAUUCGCAGAUAAAAUCAAAAAUAAACAAAACAAACCGGAGUAAGAAGAUAUUAAACCAUAAAACAGGGUCAAUUCCUUUCAGUGCAAUAAGAGAAAAUCUGCAAAGCGAAGGCAUUGAGGCAUCACGAAUCAAUGUAUUGAUUCGUUCUUCUGGAACUGACAACGAAGUCAUUGUAAGUUUUAGUUUAUUUUAUAAUGUUCAUAAAUAGUAGUUUAUUGAUGUACUCAUAGCUUAUUACUUAUUUUAUAGAGAAACAUGUCUGAAUAUUACAAAAGUGAUGAAAUUCAAGAAUUACGUCCAACAACGGAUGAAGAUGUAAGUUUUAAAUUAGUUUACUAUUUCAAAUUAUUCAAAUGUUUUAUUUCUUAUAUAUUAUUUUUCGCACGUAGGUGAUUCAACAAAAAUGCAUUUCUAAGUUUAUUCAAAGCAAAAAAGGGAGGCACAUUGGACUUGGUGGAGGAUCAUUUGCUGAGUCGAGCACUGCUUCUACCAGAUUUUCAAUUGAAAUGAAUGCAAGAUCUAUCGACAAAGACAAAGAAAAAGAAAAAGGAAAAGAAAAAAUGAACGAUCGAAUGGAAAAGCUCAUGGAGGUAUGUGUAUGAAAGUCAAUAAAAUUUUAAAGUAAUACAUAAAUAUAAAUGAAUCUUAAAUGUUUUACAGGAUAAUCAAAUUUUAAAAAGGAAAUACGAUGAAAUGUUUGAUAUGUUUGAAGACCUGAAGAAAACAGUUCUAUCUCAAUCAAAUACAACUCCACAACCUUCAGAUCGUGGAUCGUUGCAGGAUAGAAGUGUUAAUGCUGCUCAGAGUGAUCAAAGAUUUCAAACUCCUCCAUCGAAAUAGGUCUUUCAUUUUAUUUUUGUCGAAUGUUAGUUUUUUUGAAUGUUAGUUUUUGUUGAAUGUUAAUUUGUUGAAUGUUACUUUUCUUUAAUGUUGAAUAUUGUUUAUGUAUUGAAUAUUUGUUGAAUAUUGAAUGAAUUUACAGG